rnacentral:rRNA from 1 species
CAAUAGCGUAUAUUAAAGUUGUUGCAGUUAAAAAGCUCGUAGUUGGAUUUGUGGUGUACUUUGGCGGCCCGUCACACUGUGAUGGAGCUUGCUGAAGUCGCCAUCCUUGGGUGGAUCCUGUGUGGCAUUAAGUUGUCGUGCAGGGGAUGCCCAUCGUUUACUGUGAAAAAAUUAGAGUGUUCAAAGCAGGCUUAUGCCGUUGAAUAUAUUAGCAUGGAAUAAUAAGAUAGGACCUUGGUACUAUUUUGUUGGUUUGCGCACCAAGGUAAUGAUUAAUAGGGACAGUUGGGGGUAUUCGUAUUUCAUUGUCAGAGGUGAAAUUCUUGGAUUUUUGAAAGACGAACUACUGCGAAAGCAUUUACCAAGGAUGUUUUCAUUA